GACGAACGCUGGCGGCGUGCUUAACACAUGCAAGUCGAGCGGUAAGGCCCUUUCGGGGGUACACGAGCGGCGAACGGGUGAGUAACACGUGGGUGACCUGCCCUUAGCUCUGGGAUAAGCCUGGGAAACUGGGUCUAAUACCGGAUAUGACUCCAUGACGCAUGUUGUGGGGUGGAAAGCCUUGUGCGGCUAGGGAUGGGCCCGCGGCCUAUCAGCUUGUUGGUGGGGUGAUGGCCUACCAAGGCGACGACGGGUAGCCGGCCUGAGAGGGCGACCGGCCACACUGGGACUGAGACACGGCCCAGACUCCUACGGGAGGCAGCAGUGGGGAAGUCUUGCGCAAUGGGCGAAAGCCUGACGCAGCGACGCCGCGUGGGGAGUGACGGCCUCGG
rnacentral:rRNA from 1 species